UACGGAGGGUGCAAGCGUUAUCCGGAUUCACUGGGUUUAAAGGGUGCGUAGGCGGGUUGAUAAGUCCGUGGUGAAAUCUCCGAGCUUAACUCGGAAACUGCCGUGGAUACUAUUGAUCCUGAAUAUCGUGGAGGUAAGCGGAAUAUGUCAUGUAGCGGUGAAAUGCUUAGAUAUGACAUAGAACACCAAUUGCGUAGGCAGCUUACUACACGAUCAUUGACGCUGAGGCACGAAAGCGUGGGGAGCAAACAGG
rnacentral:rRNA from 1 species